GCAGGGCGGGAGGCGGCGGCGCGGAUUGGCUGGGACCUGCUGCCGUAAAACGGCCGGGGCCGGCCGGGGAUUGGCUGGCGCUGGCUCAGCCCCGGCCGCCGCAGUCCUCUGGCGCGGAGGUGACGGUCGGUGGCGGCCGCCCGAGGGUCUGUGCCGCCGUACCCGCAAGGGCACCUUGGCCGGGCCGGGGUGCGCCGGGAGUGCCCGCGUGGGCGGCCCGGGUGCGCUCUGGGUACGCCCUGCCGGGGAGGCGGGACAGGAGGGUUCGGUUGGUCGGGUCUCUUUUUUAACUGUCCCCCCUCCCCCCCUUUUUUAUUUGCUGAUGUUUGAGGUGGGGGGAAGGGCAGAGAGAGAGGAAGACAGAUGAUCCAAAGCAGGUUCUGUGCUGCCUGCGCAGAGAGCGGCCGAGAGCCUGACGCGGGGCUAGAACUCAAGGACCCGAGAACAUGACCUGAGCCGGAAUGGGUUGCUUAACCGACUGAGCCACCCAGGCGCCCUGGUCUUUAAAAUCUUCUGUUAGGGGCCCCAGAUGAAAACCAUCGGCCCUUACCAUGCCUUUUGGUGAAGGUGUAGGGGACGGGCGGCAGGCAGUCUCUGGUAGGAGCCUAAAUUGGAUGUCAACACUGCUGUGGGCGGUUGGUGGCGUGGAUUGACGUUGGCUAUGGACACGCCCUUUGGCCCAGCCGCCCCUUCUCCAGCGGUCCCCCCCCCCCCCGACAGGCAAGCUUGUGCAAUUUCAGAUGCACAGCAUUAUUUUUAAUAUGUCCACCCACAGGGAGAGUUAGAUCACGCUGCAUCCAUUCCACUGAAUCAUGAGCGGUGGAUCAGAAGAAUCCUCUGCAGAUUCCUAGACCCCCGCAAGCUUAGAGCUUCAGGAGAUCUGGAGGGGAGCCUCUGAAAGCUGGUCAGUGACAGCGCGUGGAGAAACACUACUGAGGGCUCCUGUCCCCAGUUCCUGGUGUCACCGCCAGGCCAGCGUCUGAACAUUCUGCUUGCCACAGUUGGGCCACACUUGGAUCUUCGAGGCUUCUGUUAAGUUCCCAUUGCGUGGAAGGUUUUCUUCUGGAAAUGGGGCUAACGAGGACCAUGUUGUCCAUCUGGGACAGCUGUUGUGAUGACAAGAGACAAUUUCCGAGGAGUACUUGGGGGCAAAGACAUCUUCAAGAAUUCUUCCUUGGCCGUCGGCUCCGGACCCCACCAUCACCCCAAAGCCCCCUCAAUACUGUUCCUCCGGAAGUCACAAAGAAAUGGCUUCACGGGCAAGAAACCUUCAUUUUGCUUGGCAAUUCAGGAGUUUCCUAGGCAUAAACGGUAAAGGAUAUCGUUUAUGAUAAAGGAUAAAGGAAACAGAGGCAUCACUCGUUUGCAUUCUAUACUGAAAUGAGUGAUUGGAGCCACAACUCCCACUAAACACUGAACUAGACAGUAAACCCAACCCCUGAAAGGCGAGAGGGAACUGGGUAAUCACAGGAUGCCAAACUGUCACCCACGGGUCGCCCAUUUCUGGUCAUAGGGAAGAAGAGGCCGACACGCUUUGUGAGUAUAGACAGCUUUCUCCUACCAUGGUGUUCUUAGGGGCUUCAGGGGAAAAAUGAAGCCGGUGGAGAGCAGGGUUUCCUGGGCCAGAGGCAUCUAGGAAACGUGUGAAUCCGACAAGGUUAAUUUUUUUCUGCAGCUCUUUUGAGAGCCUUUAUGAAGCUCAUGUGAAUUUGUGAUGGCAUAAAAGUUAACCCAUGGAUCAGUUACCAAAUGUCCUUAACCAGAGAGCCCUUUGGAAGGAGCAUCUCGUGGGACUGGCGGUCCAGGGGCUCCAGUGGCCCCGUGCCCGGCCGCCAGGGUGUGCCGAUGGAAGAAACCAGACCUGCCAGUCAGGUGAACAAAUCCUGCCACUUUUUAUUUAGCUGCCUGCAUUUGGCAAGUUUUUAAAACUGCCUAGGCCUCGGUUUUUAAAUCUGUAAACGGAGCCAAUAUCGCACCAUAUAUGCAGUUGAGUUUCUGUGCCUACCUGUGAGCCCCUUCUGCUGCUGCUUCGUUUUCUAAUCAGUGAGGGGCUGUAAAUGUUGGAGAAAGGUGGGGGGUGGGAUCUCAACUUCUCUCAUACAAUGGUUUGGCUCUGAGUGUGGUGAAAACACCCUGUGGGGACAAGUUGCUCUGGGAAAAAGGACUGAGGCUGCCUCCCCUUUGACCUCACGCUUCCCUGUUGGUUCUUCCUUCCAACUGGUCUCUUGGCUUGGGGCGAGGGCCCUUGAGGGCAAAGCAUCUCCUGAUGUAACCAAAACUACCCCCUUGAGCAUCAGGACCGAGCUGAGCCAGCAGGACCACCUGGGAUCACUGGGAGACAAGCUGCCUUUGACCUUCACUGCCCACCUGCACAGACCCACCUCUGCCCCACGUUCUCCUCGCAUACACCUGCAAGUAUCUUUGGCACUUUGGAGACCGUCUUUGAGACGCCAGUCCGCCGUCUUCCCGGAGCUGGCCUCCCUGAAAUCAGUCCCUUUCCUGUUUCUCCAUCACUCCUUUCUCUGCCUUUGGGUUUUGCCAGCAGCGAGUGGGCGAACCUGGUGUGUUUGGGGCCCUGGGCCCCGGCUACAGCCACAUCCACAGAAGGGGUAGCUCACAUGGCUGACUGCAGACAGUCCUUCUUCUCUGUGCAGCAGGACGGAGCGGCCACGGGAUGGGCUCUUGGGUUGUGACGGCAGGAGCCUGCAAAGCCCCCUGGUCUGCUCCGAAGCUGGCUGAAACUCUACCUUUUGUGUUGAUAGAAAAGGAAGCCGCGGGGAGGGCCUCCCAGUGACUAAACCCAGGACAAUCUGAGUAUCAGAAAGCACAAAGCCUGACUGCAGGACCCCUAAGGGAAAACCAAAGGACGUAAAGGAAGACCACAGAAUGGGAGAAACUUGUUGCAAGUCAUAUAUCUGAUGAGGAACCAUUUAAAGAAUAACUUACAACCUAGUAAUACAAAGACAGCCCAAUUAAGUAACAACCAAAGGACCGAAUAGAGGUUUCUCCAAAGAAGACACACAAAUGGCCAAUAAGCUCAUGAAACUUAUUAGCCAUCAGGGAAAUGAUAAAACCACCAUGAGACCCCCCUUCACACUCUCCAGAAAGGCCACAAUCAAGAGAGUGGAACACAACAGGUGUCGGGCAGGAUGUAGAGGGACGGGAACCCCCAAUCGUGGCCGCUAGGAGUGCAAAGUGGCUGGACUGCUUUGGAAAACAGCCUGGCCGUCUUCCCGGGGUGAAACACGGGGUUGCCACAUGACUCAGCCACCCCACCCCCAGAUACACACCCAAGAGAACUGAAAACAUAUGUCCACACAGCACUUGUAUCCAAAUGCUCAUAGCAGCAUUGUAAAUAACAGCCAAAGAGUGAAAUCAACCCAAAUAUUGGGUCAACUGAGGAAGAGAUAAAUAAACUGUGGACUAGCCAUGCGAUGGAAUAUUACUCAGCAAUAAAACGAAACGAAGUCCUGGCACGCGCUACGACAUGGAUAGAUCUAGCAAGCCCGUGCUUAUGAAGGAGCCAGGCACCCGGGACCGCAUGCAGUAUGAGGCCACGUAUAUGAUGUGCACAGGGUGGGCUCAUCCAGGGAGACAGGAAACAGACUAGCGGCCGCCUGGGGCUGCGAGGCUUGGGGCAGGGCUAUGCACUCUUCUUCCGGGUGGAAACCGUCCAAUAUUGGUUGUACAGAUGGUGGGAUAACUCUGUGAAUGUGCUAAAAACCACUGAAUUGUACACUUUAAAGGCGGACAUUGCAUAUGCGAGUUGCAUCCCGGUAAAGUUAUUUUAAAAAACUUAGCAACAAACAAAAACCUUAAAAAAGGCACAGAAAGAAAAGCCAACAAAAUAAAAGCCUGAAACUCCUUUGUCAUAAUUCGUGCGCCAACUCUUCCGGUAAUUAAAGGAAAAGAAGCGUUUACCCACAUGAACUACUUCAGACAGGCCUGGUGACGGAGGAGAGCUCUUGUCCUCAGAAGGAGUUCGGCUAACAGAUAGGGGAGAGUGGUGGAAUGAAAAGAACACCAGUUUGCAAUCCCGACUGCAGUGCCGGCUUCAGACAGAAGGCAGCACAGAACUCUAGUCAUUUGGUAAAUAAAUGCGAGCCAGAUCUUCCCAGGGAUUGUUCGCUGUGUGAAAGGGGAAAUGCAAAUGUACAAGGAGGGAUCCAGGAGAUUCCACUUAGCAUCACCAUCAGAAGGACUGUAACUUACUGCCUCCCGGUGUGAU